rnacentral:rRNA from 1 species
UACGAAGGGGCUAGCGUUGCUCGGAAUCACUGGGCGUAAAGGGUGCGUAGGCGGGUCUUUAAGUCAGGGGUGAAAUCCUGGAGCUCAACUCCAGAACUGCCUUUGAUACUGAAGAUCUUGAGUCCGGGAGAGGUGAGUGGAACUGCGGAGUGUAGAGGUGAAAUUCGUAGAUAUUCGCAAGAACACCAGUGGCGAAGGCGGCUCACUGGCCCGGUACUGACGCUGAGGCACGAAAGCGUGGGGAGCAACAGG